UUCUGCAGGAAGCGGGCAGUACACAGAGAAGGCAGCAAGGUCAACCGUGGAAUUUCUCUGUUUAGAUUGACCCACCAAGAUCACAAUUAAGCCAAACAAACACGCUCACCCAGUUUACGUCCACACUGGGGUCUGAGCUGGGCUCUGCCUUAGCUUGACUCCAGCAGCACUCGCUGGCCUGGCUACAGCUCCCCCCUGCAUCCCGGGUUCCCAGGCUGGUGUGAGACCACAGCCGGCUCUGCCUUUGACAGCCUUGCCCUCGUGCCCCCAACGGGCGGGCAGACCUCACAGACAGAGCAAGUGCUGUUUAGGCUACGUCUCCUCCCCCUCCAACACAGCCCAUUGUUUUCAAACACAGGGAUCAGUCCAGCCCAGCUGAGAGCCCAGCUGAACAAAAUAACCUCAGGUUGCGUGGUGGCGUCCAGUGGCCCGUGGGCAGCACAGAGAUGAGGGGAGAGACAGGCGCACCGUCCACUUGCCAGGAAUGAAUCCUGGCUCUGCACUAAGGAAUCACUCCUGGCGGGCUUGGAUGCUUGGGUCGCCUGGGAGUAAAACCCGGGUCAGCUGCAUGCAAGGCAAGAGCCCUGCCCACUCUACUAUCCCUCCACCCCGCCCCACUCCCCUCUAGCCUCCCCUACCCCAGUCCAUUUCUCGGAUCAAAGCCUUCCCAGCUCCCAGCUUCAGAUUCCUUGCCCAGAAAAAAAAAAAAAAUGAGACAGAUGCUAGCCCAGGUGAUGUUCCAAACCCCUCCGAAACGCCCCUGACAUUCCAGCCUUUUCCAUGCUUUCUGCACUUGGGGAGAGGCUUCACAGAACAGUCGUCGGAGGACGGAACCCACACACAUACCCAGAAACAUACGCUGAGCGGAGGAGUCGAUUGACGUCUUGAGCAGAAUCCAAGUGACUGACCCUACCUAAGCGCCGAGGCAAGCAAGGCCUUACAGAGCCACUCACAUCUUCCCAGGCACCGUUCAGGUGAGUUGGCGUUGUAGGUGAAAAUGCAUCGGAAAGACCAAAAGGAAAUGCGAUGGUCAGGAAACGAAUGCCCAGUUACAACGCCGUGCACGACGGGGGCACCCAUGUUUCUGAUGAGGACACUGUUCCGAGAGGUUCCCCAAAAGCUCACUAAAUGGUUGGGAGAAAUCCUGGGGCCAAGGGCUGGCAGCUCACAAAUGCCAAAGUGAGGCCGACUGACACUGGGGCUUGGCCAAACACGCCAGGAAAACUGCCACUCUGAGACACACUACAGGACUGGAAGAAGAAAUGAAUUCUUUCCAGCUGGGAUAUACAUAAAGAUAUCCUUAAGGAAAACCACUUGUUAUGAGAUUAAAACGACAUAAACGACUACAACAGUUCUAGUCACAUCUUCUUCCUUACAUUUCCUUUCCUUUUCCGUCUUCCUAAUCCCUUUCCUCCCCUUCAUUCCUUUUCCCUCCAUCCUUUCUACUAUGCUUUCAUUCCCUUCCCUUCUUUUCCCCUUCUAUCCCCUGUCUUUUUGAUUUUCAUCUUUUAUUUCUUAAAGACACCCCAAGAAAGUGCAUAUUCCUGCUGGGUCCAAGCAGAGGUCAGAGUAAGUUCGUGCUGGGAAAGUUCAUGCUUAGAGGGAGGAGAGAAGAAAUCCAGGUACCAUGCCUCCCACUUUGCUUACCCCAUCAGGAAGAACACACUGGUCCCCCGGGAGCAAGAGCUGGAUAGCCCUGGCUCUGCCACGCAUGAGCCGUCCUCUAAGAGGAGAAAUGGAGAGUGUGAUUCACGGGCUGUGUGUCUCCCAGGCCUGCAUGUCCCUGCCACUUGAUCCACUUACUGUGGGAUAGUAAGCCAAGAAGAUGAUCAGUCCCUCUGCUCCUAAAGACUAUGAUCCGAGAGGUCUUCUAAUCCAUUUUGGCACCCACAGCGGCUUCUUACAGAAAUGCAUCUAGACUGUGAACUGAGCUAAAAUAUCAGAAAUCCAAAACUCAUAGAGUCUUCAUUCUCAGCAGUGAAGAGAAAUUAUUAAAUGAUGCCUUUUCAGCAGGCCUGAUUGUUGGGGGAAAAUUCCAGACAAUAAUAGUGAGUUCUCUAUUGAAAUAUCGAAUGUAUUCAAAGGAUAGAGAGAAUAAAGUAAAGAUCAUUAGCUAC